GCAGCCGCGCCAUGGUGCCGUCGUCCUUGAGAAUGACGGCGGCCGGUUCGAGCCCGGCAAGCUGCGCCA
rnacentral:tRNA from 1 species